rnacentral:rRNA from 1 species
UACGGAGGGGGCAAGCGUUGUUCGGAAUCAUUGGGCGUAAAGGGCGCGUAGGCGGCCGGCCAAGUCGGGUGUGAAAUCCCUCGGCUCAACCGAGGAACUGCACUCGAUACUGGCUGGCUCGAGUCCGGGAGGGGAUGGUGGAAUUCCCAGUGUAGCGGUGAAAUGCGUAGAUAUUGGGAAGAACACCGGUGGCGAAGGCGGCCAUCUGAACCGGAACUGACGCUGAGGCGCGAAAGCCAGGGGAGCGAAUGGG